CCAGCUAAUUACCCUAACCUUGACCCAGGAGGCAGUCUGACUUCUCAAUAACUUACAGUUGCAAGAAUUGAAAGAAGCUGGGAUCUCAGAUGUUUAUUGGAGUGAAGUGAUGACAUACAACAUCCGCACAAAUGGAUUUUAGAUGGAUUUUUUGCAACACUGAUUCAGACCAAAAAGCAGAAUUUAUGGAAAUAUAAAAAGAAAGCCUCAGCUAGAAGGAGGAUUCAGGCACAGCAAGCACAGAAGGUGGCUUUGUAUGAAGGAGAACAAAAACAAGGUCUCUGAGGCCAUCGUUGAGCUGCUGCUAUGAUUUAUUUUAGUGCUGAAAGUCUCUAAACAAUGAAGCUGCCAACUUUUUCUGCAAGCAUUUAUUUAACACUCCCAAUAUCAGAAAAUUAGUCCUUGUUAUUUACUCUGAAUUGUAGGUAAAGGAUUUGGAUGCGGAAACAGUGGGCAUAAAAUAUAUGAAAAUGUUCAUGAUUUGUGUUACUUAAUAAACU